rnacentral:rRNA from 1 species
UACAGAGGGUGCGAGCGUUAAUCGGAAUUACUGGGCGUAAAGCGCACGUAGUCGGCUUUGCAAGUCGGGUGUGAAAUCCCCGGGCUCAACCUGGGAACUGCAUCCGAGACUGCAUUGCUAGAGUAUGGGAGAGGGAAGCGGAAUUUCUGGUGUAGCAGUGAAAUGCGUAGAUAUCAGAAGGAACAUCAGUGGCGAAAGGCGGCUUCCUGGACCCAAUACUGACGAUCAGGUGCGAAAGCGUGGGGAGCAAACAGG